rnacentral:lncRNA from 1 species
UCUCCUCCAUCUUCUAUUUUCAGAUUUCAUCUCCUCUAUCUUUAUUCUUAAUCAUCUCUCUCUCUCUCUCUCUCUCUCUCUCUCUCUCUCUCUCUCUCUCUCUCUCUACUCCCCUCACUCACGAACAAGAUUCAUCUCACACAGACACGUUUCUGUGUCUCAGUCUCGUAAUCUUUCUCUCACAUACGACACAUCUCAAAAAAGCAGAUUAUUCAAACCAGGCAGGACGACGACGACCGCUGGUUCUGUCUCUCUCUCUCUCUCUGUCAGUUUAAAUCUGAUUUUAUUUGUUUUGUUUGUAGGGUCGAUUCAACACAUGAGAGGUUGGAGAAAAUGAUUGUACAUCCGCUCAUCACAACCACCACACCAUCGCAUCUCAGAUCCAUUUUCGUCGGUCUCAAAGGCCUCUCCGGCGCCGAGGGAGAUGAUGUGCGGCGGAGUCUCUAUCGGGAGAGAGUUAGGGCGAGCGUGCUAAGUUUCCAUUUUCUCUAUCAUACGAACAUUUCCAUUUUUCUUUUUGGAUAAA